rnacentral:rRNA from 1 species
AUGAACGCUGGCUACAGGCUUAACACAUGCAAGUCGAGGGGCAGCGGUAUCGAAAGCUUGCUUUCGGUAGCCGGCGACCGGCGCACGGGUGAGUAACGCGUAUCGAACCUGCCUCAUACUCGGGAAUAGCCUUGCGAAAGUAAGAUUAAUGCCCGGUGUUUUCAGAGUCCCGCAUGAGGCUUUGAACAAAGAUUUAUCGGUAUGAGAUGGCGAUGCGUCCCAUUAGCUUGUUGGCGGGGUAACGGCCCACCAAGGCAUCGAUGGGUAGGGGUUCUGAGAGGAAGGUCCCCCACAUUGGAACUGAGACACGGUCCAAACUCCUACGGGAGGCAGCAGUGAGGAAUAUUGGUCAAUGGGCGGAAGCCUGAACCAGCCAAGUAGCGUGCAGGAAGACGGCCCUCCGGGUUGUAAACUGCUUUUAGUUGGGAAUAAAACGGGGCUCGUGAGCCCCCUUGCAUGUACCAUCAGAAAAAGGACCGGCUAAUUCCGUG